GUGGAAUGGGGCGCAGCCUGAUCAGCCAUGCCGCGUGUGUGAAGAAGGCCUUCGGGUUGUAAAGCACUUUUGUCCGGAAAGAAAUCGCUCUUACUAAUACUUGGUGGGGAUGACGGUACCGGAAGAAUAAGGACCGGCUAACUACGUGCCAGCAGCCGCGGUAAUACGUAGGGUCCAAGCGUUAAUCGGAAUUACUGGGCGUAAAGCGUGCGCAGGCGGUUGUGCAAGACCGAUGUGAAAUCCCCGGGCUUAACCUGGGAAUUGCAUUGGUGACUGCCCGGCUAGAGUGUGUCAGAGGGGGGUAGAAUUCCCCGUGUAGCAGUGAAAUGCGUAGAGAUGUGAAGGAAUACCGAUGGCGAAGGCAGCCCCCUGGAAUAACACUGACGCUCAUGCACGAAAGCGUGGGGAGCAAACAGGAUUAGAUACCCUGGUAGUCCACGCCCUAAACGAUGUCAACUAGUUGUUGGGGAUUCUUUUCCUUAUUAACGUACCUAACGCGUGAAGUUGACCGCCUGGGGAGUACGGUCGCAAGAUUAAAACUCAAAUGAAUUGACGGG
rnacentral:rRNA from 1 species